rnacentral:rRNA from 1 species
UACGGAGGGUGCAAACGUUGCUCGGAAUCAUUGGGCGUAAAGCGCACGUAGGCGGUCCAGCAAGUCGGGUGUGAAAGCCCUCGGCUUAACCGAGGAAGUGCAUUCGAAACUACAGGACUUGAAUACUGGAGAGGAUCGCGGAAUUCCCGGUGUAGAGGUGAAAUUCGUAGAUAUCAUGAGGAAUACCAGAGGCGAAGGCGGCUACCUGGACAAUCGCUGACGCUCAGGCACGAAAGCGUGGGGAGCAAACAGG